rnacentral:rRNA from 1 species
GAUGAACGCUGGCGGCGUGCCUAAUACAUGCAAGUCGAGCGAACAGAUGAGGAGCUUGCUCCUCUGACGUUAGCGGCGGACGGGUGAGUAACACGUGGAUAACCUACCUAUAAGACUGGGAUAACUUCGGGAAACCGGAGCUAAUACCGGAUAAUAUAUUGAACCGCAUGGUUCAAUAGUGAAAGACGGUUUUGCUGUCACUUAUAGAUGGAUCCGCGCCGCAUUAGCUAGUUGGUAAGGUAACGGCUUACCAAGGCAACGAUGCGUAGCCGACCUGAGAGGGUGAUCGGCCACACUGGAACUGAGACACGGUCCAGACUCCUACGGGAGGCAGCAGUAGGGAAUCUUCCGCAAUGUGCGAAAGCCUGACGGAGCAACGCCGCGUGAGUGAUGAAGGUCUUCGGAUCGUAAAACUCUGUUAUUAGGGAAGAACAAAUGUGUAAGUAACUAUGCACGUCUUGACGGUACCUAAUCAGAAAGCCACGGCUAACUACGUG